rnacentral:lncRNA from 1 species
AUGGGGGUCCUCCAGGGGUGGGGGUGGGGAUAUGGAGGUCCUCCAGGGGUGAGGGGAGGUCCUCCAAGGGUGGGGGAUGGGGUAUGGGGGUCCUCCAGGGGUGGGGUUUGGGGGCGUUUGGGGUCCUCCAGGGGUGGGGGGUUGGGGUAUUGGGGUCCUCCAAGGGUGGGGGUUGAGGGCAUUGGGGUCCUCCAGGGGUAGAAGUGAGGAUGUGGGGUCAUCCAGGAGUGGGGUUUUGGGGUCCUCCAGGGGUGGGGGUGGGGGACAUUGGGGUCCUCCAAGGAUGGGGGAUGGGAUAUGUGAGUCCUCCAAGAGUGGGAUUUUGGGGUCCUCCAGGGGUGGUGGGGGGGCUGGGGGGGCAUUGGGGUCCUCCAAGGGUGGGGGAUGGGCAUAUUGGGGUCCUCCAAGAAUGGGGGGUGGGAAUAUUGGGGUCCUCCAAGGGUGGGGGGAUGGGAUAUGGGGGUCCUCCAGGGGUGGGGGUUGGGAUGUGGGGUCCUCCAGGGAUUGGCAUGGGGGACAUUGGGGUCCUCCAAGAGUGGGGGUGGGGAUAUGGAGGUCCUCCUGGGGUGAGGGGAGGUCCUCCAAGGGUGGGGGAUGGGGUAUGGGGGUCCUCCAGGGGUGGGGGGUCGGGGUAUUGGGGUCCUGCAGGGCUGGGGGGGGUCGGGGUAUUGGGGUCCUGCAGGGUCCGGCGCCGACCCCACACCUCCGAUCCCAUCGCAGCCCCACAGCGCGGGGAGCGGCAUUGGGGCACGGCGCUGCAAUGCACUCCGCGGCCGAUAGGGGGCGCUCGGCGUAAAGGGACGGCGAGGCGGAUCGGCCCGUAUAGCAUAGAACGGGCGGGAUAUGGGAUAUGGGAUAUGGGAUAUGGGAUAUGGGAUAUAGGGUAUGGGAUAUGGGAUAUAGGGUAUGGGGUACGGGAUAUGGGAUAUAGGGUGUGGGAUGUAGGAUAUAAGGUAUGGGAUAUGGGAUAUGGGAUAUAGGGGGUGGGAUAUAGGAUAUAGGGUACGGGAUAUGGGAUAUAGAGUAUGGGAUGUGGGAUAUAGGAUAUAGGAUAUGGGAUAUGGGAUAUAGGGUAUGGGGUACGGGAUAUGGGAUAUAGGGUAUGGUAUGUGGGAUAUAGGGUAUGGGAUGUGGGAUAUAGGAUAUGGGAUAUAGGGUAUGGGAUAUAGGGUAUGGGAUAUAGGGUAUGGGAUAUAGGAUAUGAGAUACAGGAUAUAGAGUACGGGAUAUGGGAUAAUAGUAUAUGGGAUAUAGGAUAUAGGGUGCAGGAUAUAGGAUAUAGGGUAUGGGAUAUGGGAUAUAGGGUAUGGGGUACGGGAUAUGGGAUAUAGGGUGUGGGAUGUAGGAUAUAAGGUAUGGGAUAUGGCAUAUAGGGUAUGGGGUACGGGAUAUGGGAUAUAGGGUACGGGAUGUGGGAUAUAGAAUAUAGGAUAUGGGAUAUGGGAUAUGGGAUAUAGGGUAUGGGAUAUGGGAUAUAGGGUGCAGGAUAUAGGAUAUAGGGUAUGCGAUAUGGGAUAUAGGGUAUGCGAUAUGGGAUAUAGGGUAUGGGAUAUGGGAUAUAGGAUACUGGAUAUGAAAUAUAGCAUAUAGGAUAUGAGAUAUGGAAUAUGGGAUAUAGGGUACGGGAUACAGGAUAUAGGGUACGGGAUAUGGGAUAUAGGAUAUGGGAUAUAGGGUGUGGGAUAUAGGAUAUAGGAUAUAGGAUAUAGGAUGCAGGAUAUAGGAUAUAGGGUGCAGGAUUUGGGGGAUGCUGUGUGCCACCCCUACGGCCCUAUAGGGUGGUCCCAAUGGACCGCCAUCCAUACCCCAC